AUGCUGCAAAUCAUCUCCUUUGGGCUGGCAAACAGCAAGCAUGCCAUGGGCUCUGGUCAGCUGCUGGGCUCACCGAUGUCGGAGUAUCUAGACACCCAGAAGUCAGACACCAUCAACAUUGAUGCUCCUGAGAAGGAUGGCGAGCAUGUUCAUGUGCUUCAUAGGAAGAGGAAGCGGGCAGGCUUCAUGGAGGAGGAGCUGAGCGUCUUCAACAGCAUGAUUGAGGCAGUGAAGGAGGUGGCCACCGCCAUCAGGGAGAGCAAGAGUGUGGACGUCCACCCUAAACUCUACAACGCCAUCAUGGAUCAGAUUGGCUUCAGCCCAGAGGCUCUCAUGGUGGCUCUCAACCACCUGCUGGACAACAAAUCUCGGGGUGUUGGGUUUGUUGCCACGGAUUGA
rnacentral:rRNA from 1 species